rnacentral:rRNA from 1 species
GACGAACGCUGGCGGCGUGCCUAAUACAUGCAAGUCGAGCGCUGAAGGUUGGUACUUGUACCAAUUGGAUGAGCAGCGAACGGGUGAGUAACGCGUGGGGAACCUGCCUUUGAGCCGGGGAUAACUUCUGGAAACGAAUGCUAAUACCGCAUAAUAACUUUAAACACAAGGUUCAAGUUUGAAAGAUGCAAUUGCUUCCACCAAUGAUGAUCUCGCGUUGUAUUUGCGAGUUGGUGAGGUAAAGGCUCACCAAGGCGAUGAUACAUAGCCCACCUGGGAAGGUGGUCGGCCACAUUGGGACUUGAGCACGGCCCAAACUCCUACGGGGGGCAACAAUAGGGAAUCUUCGGGAAUGGACGGAAGGCUGGCCGGGCAACGCCGCGGGAGGGAAGAAAGUUUUCGGGUCGUAAAACUCUGUUGAUAGGGAAGAACGAUGGGUAGAGUGGAAAACUCAUCAAGUGACGGUAACUACCCAGAAAGGGACGGCUAACUACGUG